GAUGAACGCUGGCGGCGUGCCUAAUACAUGCAAGUCGAGCGAACAGAUGCGGAGCUUGCUCCUCUGACGUUAGCGGCGGACGUGUGAGUAACACGUGUAUAACCUACCUAUAAGACUGGGAUAACUUCGGGAAACCGGCGCUAAUCCCGGAUAAUAUAUUGCACCGCAUGGUUCAAUAGUGAAAGACGGUUUUGCUGUCACUUAUAGAUGGAUCCGCGCCGCAUUAGCUAGUUGGUAAGGUAACGGCUUACCAAGGCAACGAUGCGUAGCCGACCGGAGAGGGUGAUCGGCCACACGGGAACUGAGACACGGCCAAGACUCCUACGGGAGGCACCAGUAGGGAAUCUGCCGCAAUGGGCGAAAGUAUGACGGAGCAAGGGCGAGUGAGUGAUGAAGGUCUUGGGAGCGGAAAAACCUGUUAUGAGGGAAGAACAAAUGUGUAAGUAACUAUGCACGUCUUGACGGUACCGAAUCAGAAAGCCACGGCUAACUACGUG
rnacentral:rRNA from 1 species